GACAGAGGGUGCAAGCGUUGCUCGGAAUUACUGGGCGUAAAGCGCGUGUAGGCGGUGCCGCACGUCCGGUGUGAAAGCCCGGGGCUCAACCCCGGAAGUGCAGUGGAUACGACGGCGCUGGAGUCCUGAAGAGGAGGGCGGAAUUCCCGGUGUAGAGGUGAAAUUCGUAGAUAUCGGGAGGAACACCAGUGGCGAAGGCGGCUCUCUGGACAGGUACUGACGCUGAGACGCGAAAGCGUGGGUAGCAAACAGG
rnacentral:rRNA from 1 species